UAAAGUUUGGUGAAAGGUGUUCAA
rnacentral:piRNA from 1 species